UCCGCCCGCCUCGGCAUCCCAAAGUGCUGGGAUUACGGGCAUGAGCCACCGCACCCUGCCAACCCCAGUCUUUUAUCUGAACUCCUAAUCAACAUUUUCAACUACUAUGCAUCCCUAUAUUGAUGUCCCAAUCCCAUCUUAAAUUCAACAUGUCCAAAUGAAAUGGUUUUUUAAAUCCCCACCUCAACUCCCUUCUCUCUUUAAUUCCAAUCUCAAUUAAUGGCAACUCUACACCUAAUUAUCCUAUGUAGAGAUCUCUGAGCUAUUCUUCAUAACUUUCUCUGAACUCUGAAGCAGCUGAAGUUUUUUCUACUUGGUUGAAAACUGUUCCCCCAAAAUUCAUGUCCAUCAGGAAUCUAUGAAUGUGACCUUACUUGGAAAUCGGGUCUUUGUAGAUGUAAUCCAAUUCAGAUGAGGUCACACUAGAUUAGAGUGGGCCCUAAAUCCAAUGACUGGUAUCAUAAAAAGAAGAGGGAAAUUUGGACAUAGAGACACACAGAGGGAAAAUGGCCAUAUGAAGAAGGAAACUGAGAUUGGAGUGAUGCUGCAACUCUAAGCCAUGGAAUGCCAGGGACUGUCUGAGGUCACUGGAAACAAGAAGAGGUGAAAAAAUAAACACUCAGAGGUGAAGUCACCCAAGAACCCUCACCUACCUCUCAAGCACUGUGAACAAUCACUUUCUCUGGCUGUCUUCUUGGAGCCCCUGCUAAUUCAUUAUUGAAAAAUACCUGCGGCCUGCAUUUGGCCUUAUGUUGUCAUUUACUUGGGUCUGGCAGGGUGUUUAGAAGGCUACACCUUAGGCUGGGGGUCAAGAAUGUCUUCCCUGAUGUGAGGUUUACACAGAGAUCUGAAGAAUGAAGAGUCCAGCUAAGUGAAGUGGGAGCGGAUUAAGGGAAUGCAAGGACAUGAAAGAGUGUCCUAGGCAGAAGGAACAACAUAUGCAAAGGCCGUGAGGUGGGAGUGAAGAAGGAACAUUUGAAGAACUGAGAGAAGGUCACUGUGGAAAGCCAGAUGCUGUGUGAUAUGAAUAAUGCAACAGGGGAAAUUGAGAUAUUAGCAAAAGAGGGAUUGAUGACCCAUGGGCUUGAAGAUGUACUGGAACUAAAGUACUUCCUAAGGGUGGCUACUCCAAUGUAGCUGUAGUAUAUGUACUGAAGGAAGAUCCUCUCAUACUGCCACAGCCAACAGAUAAAGUUGUGAAUCUUUUUUGGGAGAAGCCGUUAAGGACAGGUCUGUGAAAUGGAAGAAUCUCUGGAUCACUACAAAGUCUGGCUCAGUGACUAUGGCUUUGCAAACACUAAACAUUCCUAUCUCAAGUCCUGUAGAUGACUUGAAGUAGCAUACACAAGCAUGCCUUAUAAACAUCUUCAGUCUUUAUCAACUCUUUGGAGAUUCAGCCAUUCUUUUUUGUACUUCAGGGAAUUAAAUAAUUUUAUAAUGUGGUAUAAAUCUGAGCAUGGCAGAUGGUAGAAGAAAUUUUGUCAUAUAUUUUUAAAGAAAUAAAAAUGUAUUAUGUUUUAAAAUUCCUUUAGCUGUUUUUCUUACAAAGCUCCCAACAACGUAGUUACCAAGUAAAUUAUCUCAGAUGUGAUUUUUCAGUCCUUGCUAAUCUGUUUAUAAAAUCUUUUGCUAUUUUGUAAUUUUAUCAUUUA